rnacentral:rRNA from 1 species
CACGUAGGGCGCGAGCGUUGUCCGGAAUUAUUGGGCGUAAAGAGCUCGUAGGCGGCCUGUUGCGUCCGCUGUGAAAGCCCGGGGCUUAACCCCGGGUCUGCAGUGGAUACGGGCAGGCUAGAGGUAGGUAGGGGAGAAUGGAAUUCCCGGUGUAGCGGUGAAAUGCGCAGAUAUCGGGAGGAACACCGGUGGCGAAGGCGGUUCUCUGGGCCUUACCUGACGCUGAGGAGCGAAAGCGUGGGGAGCGAAACAGG